GACGUCGAAUAUCAACGUCAUAAACACCAAAGUUGAUCGUGUUUGUUACGUCGAAUAGCGACGUCAUAAACACCAAAGUUGAUCGUGUUUAUGACGUCGAAUAUCGACGUCAUAAAUACCAAAGUUGAUCGUGUUUAUGACGUCGAAUAUCGACGUC